GGUUUCGUUUAUUCCUUCUCUCUUCCCAGCCUCCUCCUCAAAACCAUCGGUUUCUAUAGAAAGCGAUCUCUCAAGAGGAUUCAAAACCCAAUAGAAAUCGAUCUCGCAAGAGGAUUCAAAACCCAAUUCUGUCGCUCCUCCGCCACACGCCCCAAACCCAAAGCAAAACAUCGAUCGAUCUCUCAAGAGGAUUCAAAACCCAACUCCGUCGCUCCUCCGCAGCACGCUCCAAACCCAAAGCAUUCCCGGAUCGAUCUCUCUGUCUCUUCAAAACCCAGCUCCUCAUCGAUGGUUUUUGGGACAUGAGUGCAAGAGAUCGAGGUCAUGCUGAAGAUCAAGUCUGAUAUAUGAUAGUGCAGCAAUUUGAGAGUUUGAAGAGGAGGUAGUAGUGUGUACUUUUUAGUUCUCAUUUGGUUUCCUUUAAGAUAUGUUUACAGUACUUUUGUAAAACGAUAAAUCAUGAAGUUUGUAGUUUUUCAUAAUUGAGACCUUAAUCCAUGUGCCUUGUACUA